UACGUAGGUGGCAAGCGUUGUUCGGAAUUACUGGGCGUAAAGGGCUCGUAGGCGGCCAACUAAGUCGGACGUGAAAUCCCUCGGCUUAACCGGGGAACUGCGUCCGAUACUGGAUGGCUUGAGUUUGGGAGAGGGAUGCGGAAUUCCAGGUGUAGCGGUGAAAUGCGUAGAUAUCUGGAGGAACACCGGUGGCGAAGGCGGCAUCCUGGACCAACACUGACGCUGAUGAGCGAAAGCCAGGGGAGCAAACGGG
rnacentral:rRNA from 1 species